rnacentral:rRNA from 1 species
UACGAAGGGGGCUAGCGUUGUUCGGAAUCACUGGGCGUAAAGCGCACGUAGGCGGAUCUUUAAGUCAGGGGUGAAAUCCCGAGGCUCAACCUCGGAUCUGCCUUUGAUACUGGGGAUCUCGAGUCCGGGAGAGGUGAGUGGAACUGCGAGUGUAGAGGUGAAAUUCGUAGAUAUUCGCAAGAACACCAGUGGCGAAGGCGGCUCACUGGCCCGGAACUGACGCUGAGGUGCGAAAGCGUGGGGAGCAAACAGG